rnacentral:rRNA from 1 species
AUGACGAUCAAAAUCAACCCCAGGGAUCGAGCGGAGAAGGAUUAUGAGUUUCGUGAAGAAGGAGACAGAAUUGAGGAGUACUUCAGGAAGUUUUCUAAUGGCGGCACCUUGCACAUGGGGUUAGCAACAAUAUUUCGAGGUUAUAUUUGCAUGAUCGCUAAAAAUUCUGUGAGGCUGGCUUCUAUUGUCAUGGGUAAGCCAGGCAUAAUUUCUGAAGAUGCACGUCUCACCACACUGAUGACUCCAAGAAAGGGAGAAAAGAUGACUCUUGGGGUGUACGUGCGCAACUUUGUCAGUACAGCCGAGGAUGCGUACAAUGAUAAGGUCACUGAGGAAACUAUUGUUACCUUUCUUGGUGCUCUUCAAGGUGUGGCAGCAAUGAGCUACUUCAUGGCUCAAGACACCCUUGCAAAAAUUGGUGAUGAUGAAGCUAGUUCACUGUACUGCGGUAAAGAUUCUGUUUUCAAUAGACCUUGGUUGGAGUACA